rnacentral:rRNA from 1 species
UACGUGGGGGGCAAGCGUUGUCCGGAUUCAUUGGGCGUAAAGAGCGUGUAGGCGGCCAGGUAGGUCGGUUGUGAAAACUGGAGGCUCAACCUUCAGAGGUCGACCGAAACCAUCUGGCUAGAGUCCGGGAGAGGAGAGUGGAAUUCCUGGUGUAGCGGUGAAAUGCGCAGAUAUCAGGAAGAACACCCGUGGCGAAAGCGGCUCUCUGGAACGGUACUGACGCUGAGACGCGAAAGCUCGGGGAGCGAACGGG